AGCGUACACGGUGGAUGCCCUGGCAGUCAGAGGCGAUGAAGGACGUGCUAAUCUGCGAUAAGCGUCGGUAAGGUGAUAUGAACCGUUAUAACCGGCGAUUUCCGAAUGGGGAAACCCAGUGUGAUUCGUCACACUAUCAUUAACUGAAUCCAUAGGUUAAUGAGGCGAACCGGGGGAACUGAAACAUCUAAGUACCCCGAGGAAAAGAAAUCAACCGAGAUUCCCCCAGUAGCGGCGAGCGAACGGGGAGCAGCCCAGAGCCUGAAUCAGUGUGUGUGUUAGUGGAAGCGUCUGGAAAGGCGUGCGAUACAGGGUGACAGCCCCGUACACAAAAAUGCACAUGCUGUGAGCUCGAUGAGUAGGGCGGGACACGUGGUAUCCUGUCUGAAUAUGGGGGGACCAUCCUCCAAGGCUAAAUACUCCUGACUGACCGAUAGUGAACCAGUACCGUGAGGGAAAGGCGAAAAGAACCCCGGCGAGGGGAGUGAAAAAGAACCUGAAACCGUGUACGUACAAGCAGUGGGAGCCUCUUUAUGGGGUGACUGCGUACCUUUUGUAUAAUGGGUCAGCGACUUAUAUUCUGUAGCAAGGUUAACCGAAUAGGGGAGCCGAAGGGAAACCGAGUCUUAACUGGGCGUUAAGUUGCAGGGUAUAGACCCGAAACCCGGUGAUCUAGCCAUGGGCAGGUUGAAGGUUGGGUAACACUAACUGGAGGACCGAACCGACUAAUGUUGAAAAAUUAGCGGAUGACUUGUGGCUGGGGGUGAAAGGCCAAUCAAACCGGGAGAUAGCUGGUUCUCCCCGAAAGCUAUUUAGGUAGCGCCUCGUGAAUUCAUCUCCGGGGGUAGAGCACUGUUUCGGCAAGGGGGUCAUCCCGACUUACCAACCCGAUGCAAACUGCGAAUACCGGAGAAUGUUAUCACGGGAGACACACGGCGGGUGCUAACGUCCGUCGUGAAGAGGGAAACAACCCAGACCGCCAGCUAAGGUCCCAAAGUCAUGGUUAAGUGGGAAACGAUGUGGGAAGGCCCAGACAGCCAGGAUGUUGGCUUAGAAGCAGCCAUCAUUUAAAGAAAGCGUAAUAGCUCACUGGUCGAGUCGGCCUGCGCGGAAGAUGUAACGGGGCUAAACCAUGCACCGAAGCUGCGGCAGCGACACUAUGUGUUGUUGGGUAGGGGAGCGUUCUGUAAGCCGUUGAAGGUGGCCUGUGAGGGUUGCUGGAGGUAUCAGAAGUGCGAAUGCUGACAUAAGUAACGAUAAAGCGGGUGAAAAGCCCGCUCGCCGGAAGACCAAGGGUUCCUGUCCAACGUUAAUCGGGGCAGGGUGAGUCGACCCCUAAGGCGAGGCCGAAAGGCGUAGUCGAUGGGAAACAGGUUAAUAUUCCUGUACUUGGUGUUACUGCGAAGGGGGGACGGAGAAGGCUAUGUUGGCCGGGCGACGGUUGUCCCGGUUUAAGCGUGUAGGCUGAUUUUCCAGGCAAAUCCGGAGAAUCAAGGCUGAGGCGUGAUGACGAGGCACUACGGUGCUGAAGCAACAAAUGCCCUGCUUCCAGGAAAAGCCUCUAAGCAUCAGGUAACAUCAAAUCGUACCCCAAACCGACACAGGUGGUCAGGUAGAGAAUACCAAGGCGCUUGAGAGAACUCGGGUGAAGGAACUAGGCAAAAUGGUGCCGUAACUUCGGGAGAAGGCACGCUGAUGGUAGGUGAAGCGACUUGCUCGUGGAGCUGAAAUCAGUCGAAGAUACCAGCUGGCUGCAACUGUUUAUUAAAAACACAGCACUGUGCAAACACGAAAGUGGACGUAUACGGUGUGACGCCUGCCCGGUGCCGGAAGGUUAAUUGAUGGGGUCAGCCGCAAGGCGAAGCUCUUGAUCGAAGCCCCGGUAAACGGCGGCCGUAACUAUAACGGUCCUAAGGUAGCGAAAUUCCUUGUCGGGUAAGUUCCGACCUGCACGAAUGGCGUAAUGAUGGCCAGGCUGUCUCCACCCGAGACUCAGUGAAAUUGAACUCGCUGUGAAGAUGCAGUGUACCCGCGGCAAGACGGAAAGACCCCGUGAACCUUUACUAUAGCUUGACACUGAACAUUGAGCCUUGAUGUGUAGGAUAGGUGGGAGGCUUUGAAGUGUGGACGCCAGUCUGCAUGGAGCCGACCUUGAAAUACCACCCUUUAAUGUUUGAUGUUCUAACGUGGACCCGUGAUCCGGGUUGCGGACAGUGUCUGGUGGGUAGUUUGACUGGGGCGGUCUCCUCCUAAAGAGUAACGGAGGAGCACGAAGGUUGGCUAAUCCUGGUCGGACAUCAGGAGGUUAGUGCAAUGGCAUAAGCCAGCUUGACUGCGAGCGUGACGGCGCGAGCAGGUGCGAAAGCAGGUCAUAGUGAUCCGGUGGUUCUGAAUGGAAGGGCCAUCGCUCAACGGAUAAAAGGUACUCCGGGGAUAACAGGCUGAUACCGCCCAAGAGUUCAUAUCGACGGCGGUGUUUGGCACCUCGAUGUCGGCUCAUCACAUCCUGGGGCUGAAGUAGGUCCCAAGGGUAUGGCUGUUCGCCAUUUAAAGUGGUACGCGAGCUGGGUUUAGAACGUCGUGAGACAGUUCGGUCCCUAUCUGCCGUGGGCGCUGGAGAACUGAGGGGGGCUGCUCCUAGUACGAGAGGACCGGAGUGGACGCAUCACUGGUGUUCGGGUUGUCAUGCCAAUGGCACUGCCCGGUAGCUAAAUGCGGAAGAGAUAAGUGCUGAAAGCAUCUAAGCACGAAACUUGCCCCGAGAUGAGUUCU
rnacentral:rRNA from 1 species